rnacentral:rRNA from 1 species
AUGCACACUUCUUCCUCCUCUCUUCUUCUUCCUCCUCUCUUCCCCAUCGUCGGCCGCACACCAUUUCCCCCCGCUCACUGCUCGCCCGCCCGCGCCAUCUUCCUUGGUAGCUCACGCGUACCAUAUCCCCCCGCCCACUGCUCGGCCACACACGCCAUCUUCUUCGCUCGCCCACCCGAAUCCACUUCCCCGCUGGCUCGCAGGCAUCGAAAACCCCACAACUUCAAGAAGGAUUGGCCGGUGCUGCCGGCUAGCGUCAAGUUCGAUCCCACGGAUCAGGAGCUGAUCGAGCACCUUGAGGACAAAGUGAAUGCUGACAGUGCGAGAUCUCACCCUCUCAUCGAUUUGUUCAUACCAACCAUCGACAGCGAGCACGACAUAUGCUACACCCAUCCUGAGAAACUUCCAAGUAUCACACUGAGUGGCCUAAGCAAGCAUUUCUUCCAGCGCAAUUCCAGUGCGUUCAAAAGGGGCACGUGGACGCGUCGCAAGAUAAAGUCGGAGUGCGGCAUGCACGCGAUGUGGCACAAGACCGGCAAUACCUUGCCGGUGAUGGUCAAUGGUUGGCAGACGGGCAGCAAAAAGGUUCUCGUGCUGCGCACCAACAAGAACUUCGACCAUUCCCGCAAAUGA